CAUGGGUUGAUAUUGGUCAAUAUGGUUCUAUAAGUGAUGGUGGCGUAUGGAGUCAGACAAACUUGGCUGCUGACUUAGAAAGCAAUGCAGCAGAUUUACCAGAAUCUACGCCUUUGCCAGAAAGAGAUAUUCCAUUUCCUCAUGUUAUAGUGGCUGAUGAGGCGUUCCCUUUAAAGCCAUAUUUAAUGCGUCCUUUCCCAAGGAGAGUGAAGAGGAUGACAGAUGAGGAGCGAAUAUUCAACUACCGGUUAAGUCGAGCACGGUUGUGCAUAGAAAACACUUUUGGCAUUCUUGCCUCUCGUUGGAGGAUCCUGCAUAGAAACCUGAGUUGCUCAGUAGAGAAUGCAGAACAUAUUUUUAAAGCACUUGUUUGCUUACAUAAUUUUGCCAUGAGCACCAAUAAUAAUGGCCGAUAUUGUCAGCUUGAACAUCUUUAUGUGGAGACUGAUGAAGGAAGAAGUUUUGAAGAUCGCUGGCAUGGUAUAGGGGUUGGAGAAUACUUUAAACAAUUAUCAAGAGUAGGACCUAAUAGAGCUGGAGCUCUUUCUUUGGGCUUACGCAAUUACCUAAAAGAAUACUUUGUGUCACCUACUGGCAAUGCUCAAGCACCCUGGCAAUUUGAUAGAGCAUUCAAGGAAUCCUAUAUCAACCUAAUUGCUUAACCAAAUGGCUGCGUUUUGCCGAACCUCUGCUUAGCUAAGAGCACCUCUAAAUGUCCAUUUUUAAUCGCAAUGUAUACCAACUCCUCUAGCAUGGUACGCGCAUCAUCUGCCAACGUGGUUCCUUCGAUUAUCCACCGUUGCUACAAACGUCACCGAGCUUGCUAUACCAAUUUUAUUUUUCUUCACGCACAGAAAAGUGAGAAUA